ensembl:lncRNA
GGGAAGUUUCACUCGUCUGGCACACUUAAGAUAAAAGUCUGACAUCGUUGCUAGGCUCAGGGUAUCAUGACUCAAAGUCAAACGCAUUUUGACCAUUUCAUUUGAAAUGUAUUUUUCCCUCUACAGGAACAAAAAAGAAAAGGAAACAAAACAAAUCAACAUUUCUUCUCUUUAUUGUCUAAUUUGUCCAACACAUUCAUCAUUUUUAAAGUUUCACAGUACAGCAGUUCAAUAAAACCGUGACUCAGUGGACAAUAAAUCAUUUACAUUAAAUCGACGCCUUAGUCGUCUUUACAAAACACAUUCUGACAUUUUUAUUAACUGUGUAAACGUUACAGAGGCAAGUCUUUAUGUAAUUAUCAGAAAUUGUAGGCAGUAGUAAAUUCUCCCCAAAAAUGUCACAUGUUUUGGGAGGAUACAAAAAAGGGAAAAAAGAUACAUCCAGUAAACUGAAGUGUAAAUGAUUCAAACAGCUGAAGUGUAGCUCACGUUAUUUGACCUGCACUGAGGAUUUCUGGGAUUUAAAGAGCUACUGGUUUCCACCAAAUAUGCAGGAAAUUAAUCUAAAGAAGAAAAGAAAGUGGACCCAACUGAUUCUCAUCCCAGCACUGAAGACUCAGCUUCCAGAGAAAAGACAAGUAUCUAAUAUGUGUAGAUGUGAGGGGAGGAAGGAGUCAAAAUAAGGUUUAAAACUCGAAGAUACAAAAAAAAGCUAUGAAAUAACCUGGAUAAUGUGAGUGUGCAGGAAAACAUCCACAUGAGGAGAAAAGCAACCUGAGUGCCUGCAGUUAGUAAAACCCAACCUAAACACUGCAGAGCUCCUCCUCCACUACAUCUCCACCAAUCACCGAGUCCGUCUGAACAUCCAACACAACCUCACCUCUGAAUGCCUCAAAAACACACACAAGCAUUCAAAAAUUAUAAAUGUGCGUCAUUUCUUUAAAAAGAGUUUCUCUAGAACAGAUGACUUUCCAAAUCUCAGUCUAAGCACGCACACCCCACACUGUAAACUUCAGUAGUGCUUUUCAAAUCAAACUCCUUCACAUUUUAAUCGUUUCCUGAAUCAGAUGAUUAAGUUUUGACACAUUAUCCCUUUUCCUCAUUAAAGCCCCAUUCACACUGCUUUUCUUUGAUGCCGAUGCGACAGUUUUAUUCGUCUUACUGUACGUAAACAUCACUUCACUCCAAGCCUCCUGUGGAUAAAUGCUCAGCCCCUCCCCUCUGGAAGCAGAGGAAGCUGAAACACCAACGUGCAGCUGUGCUGGGGACUUGUAAGUCGAUGAGUUUAGGAAAUCUGAAGUUAAAGUCAUUCAUGCAUAACUGGAAUGUGAGCUACAAACAGCAACUGCUCUUAUUAAACUGCAUUUUAAUAACUACAUACUUGAAAUAGAGCAACAAUUAGUCCAACUGGUGCCAAUAAAGGUGGAAAUCAGCUUUAGCAACGCUGUUUUCUUUCAUCAGCUGGAGAGAGUAAAUGAAGCCCACGCUAAUUAUUCUCAGUAACAUGUUAACACAUGAAUAUUUGCCUUCUGUUACAGCAUUUGCCUCAGACAUAGUUGGAGGAGCCUGUCAGUCCCUGCAGGGAAGCGGUCAUCGUGCCGCGCUCAGGUCGCGGACACAAAAAGGUCAAAAACAUUUGAGAUGGAGAGAAGUAGUAGUUCAAUCCUUUCUGCAGAGAAAGGCGUGUCAGAAGAAGUCUGGACAGCAAACACAGCAAUCCUUGGAUAAGUCCAACUUCAACCAGUCUGAAAACACAACAGGUCCCAAAGCAGGCGCUGAUGGGGUCAAAAAGGCUCACCGGCACCAGUUUAGUCCCUCUGGUUGGUUAAAUGUAACGUACGUCUGUAUGUGUGCAAGAAAAUAUGCAUAUGCAGUUUCAGGGAGCUGCAGGUUCAGCUGGAGCCUUUAUGUACUGCAGCAGGGGUCACGGGGUGAACGGAAGGAUGUGCAGCAGCCUACAACACACAAUGGGGAAAGAUUUUACUGGCAA